GAAUGUGAGGAUGAUCCAUUGGUAACAUGUCAUUUCCUUGAUCAACAUGAUUGAUGAGACUUAUUCGACUGACUGGGAACGUUUCUCCUUCCUCCCUUAUAGUUACGUGUGCAUCUCUUCCUAAGCCACAUGCUCAAAGGUGAAUGGUCUCCCUAGAUAGAGUAGGGCUGUUCUUCAGUCAAGGCUAUGGGGUGGUAGUGCUUCCCCAACAGAACCCUCAUCCCAGUGGUUCUCAAACUUUAGCAUGCAUCAAAAUCACCUG
rnacentral:snRNA from 1 species